AAUGAACGCUGGCGGCAGGCCUAAUACAUGCAAGUCGAGCGGACGGACGAGAAUGCUUGCACUCUCCGACGUUAGAGGGGUGCGUGUGAGUAACACGUAGGCAACCUACCUAUAACUCUGGUCUUACUUCGGGAAACCAGAGCUCAUACCUGCUAAUGGUUAACUUCGGAUAACGCAAUAGUGAAAGACCGUUCUUGUGUCAAUUAUAGAUUGACCCGUGGGGUAUUAGCUGGUUGGUGAGGUAACGGCUCACCAAGGCCACGAUACGUAGCCGGUCUGAGAGGAUGAUCAGCCACACUGGAACUGAGACACGGCCCAGACUCCUACGGGAGGCAGCAGUGGGGAAUAUUCGGCAAUGGACGAAAGCCUGAUCCAGCCAUGCCGCGUGAGUGAAGAAGGUUUUCGGAUUGUAAAGCUCUGUUGUUAGGGAAGAACAGCAGCGUUAGAAUAUGAACCUGUUUUGACGGUACCUAAACAGAAAGCCACGGCUAACUUCGUG
rnacentral:rRNA from 1 species